UACGUAGGGUGCGAGCGUUGUCCGGAAUUACUGGGCGUAAAGAGCUCGUAGGUGGUUUGUCGCGUUGUUCGUGAAAACCGGGGGCUUAACCCUCGGCGUGCGGGGCGAUACGGGCAGACUUGAGUACUGCAGGGGAGACUGGAAUUCCUGGUGUAGCGGUGGAAUGCGCAGAUAUCAGGAGGAACACCGGUGGCGAAGGCGGGUCUCUGGGCAGUAACUGACGCUGAGGAGCGAAAGCGUGGGGAGCAAACGGG
rnacentral:rRNA from 1 species